GGGGCAGCGGGGAUAAGCUUGCUUAUCCGCCGGCGACCGGCGCACGGGUGCGGAACGCGUAUGGAACCUGCCCCUGUCAGGGGAAUAGCCCAGGGAAACUUGGAUUAAUGCCCCAUGGUACCGCGAUAUCGCAUGAUAUUGUGGUUAAAGAUUUAUCGGACAGGGAUGGCCAUGCGUACCAUUAGCUAGUUGGUAAGGUAACGGCUUACCAAGGCAACGAUGGUUAGGGGCCCUGAGAGGGGGAUCCCCCACACUGGUACUGAGACACGGACCAGACUCCUACGGGAGGCAGCAGUGAGGAAUAUUGGACAAUGGUCGGAAGACUGAUCCAGCCAUGCCGCGUGCAGGAUGACGGCCCUAUGGGUUGUAAACUGCUUUUAUACGGGAAGAAACCCGCCUACGUGUAGGCGGCUGACUGUACCGUAAGAAUAAGGACCGGCUAACUCCGUGCCAGCAGCCGCGGUAAUACGGAGGGUCCGAGCGUUAUCCGGAAUCAUUGGGUUUAAAGGGUCCGUAGGCGGGCCUGUAAGUCAGGGGUGAAAGUUUGUGGCUCAACCAUAAAAUUGCCUUUGAUACUGCAGGUCUUGAGUCAUGGUGGGGUUGCCGGAACAUGUGGUGUAGCGGUGAAAUGCAUAGAUAUCACAUAGAACACCGAUCGCGAAGGCAGGUGACCAACCAUGUACUGACGCUGAUGGACGAAAGCGUGGGUAGCGAACGGGAUUAGAUACCCCGGUAGUCCACGCCGUAAACGAUGGAUACUAGCUGUGGGGUCUUCGGACUCCGUGGCCAAGCGAAAGUGA
rnacentral:rRNA from 1 species